rnacentral:lncRNA from 1 species
UAUAUGAUGGAUCUCCAAGCUGGAAAUUCUUCUCGUUUGGGAGAUCUUUGUACUGAUGUCAAGACUACCCAAGUGAAGAUCUUUCUAUCUUCUUCAUUAUUACUUGGUAAACGUCUUUUCAAAUUUAUUCUUUCUUUGACUAAUAUCACAUCAAUCUAAUCAUUUUUCUUCUGUUGGUCAGAUUUUUGCUCUAGAAAUUGAAAACAAUUUAUGUUGAAUAGAUCUGGUACAUAUGAUCGGUAUGUUGAACUAUUCUCUUUUCCUUUUCAGUCACCCUCAUCUUUUGCUCUUCUCCCUAACCUUUUGUUUCUUUCCUAUUGCUUGUUGUAAUUGAAGUUGAGUAGUUGAAGCUUUUUGUCAAUGAAACUCUAAGUUGGAAUGGCUUCUCUUUUGGGAGAUCUUUGUACUGAUGUCAUGGACUACACAAGUGAAGCUUUUACUAUCUUCUUCACUAUUAUUUGGUAAGCGUCUUUUCAGAUUCAUUCUCUCUUUGAUUAUAUCACAUCGAUCUAAUCCUUCUUCUUCAGGUGGUUAGAUUUUUGCUCCAGAAAUUGAAAAUAGUUUAUGUUGAAUAGAUCUGGUGCUCCUGACUGGUAUGUUGGACUAUUCCCUCUUCUUUUGUCUUCCUCCUCUUUUGCUCUUCUCCCUAACCUUUUGCUUCCUCGUCAUUGCUUGUUUUAGUUGAAUUCGAGUAGUUGAAAACUCUCCUAAUUCUUUUCUUAUGUUAUUUAGAAGCAACAAUGAAGGAUUUGUUCUGACUUUGAAUAGUGCUGAUAAAUUAAGAAAUUAUACUGACAUAAUAUUAUAAUAACAUGAAAAAAGUAAAAUGACAAAACAAAAUUGAGUUCAUCAUAAAUAUCUUAGUGAUACCCAUAAUUUAAUUUUCUAAUUCGCCUAACGCAUCAUCAUCCUGAAGUUUCAGAAUCUAUAAAUUUAUAAUAUAUUGUGCUUUCUAUAUUCCAGAUUUCAAGUGGUUUAGUUUCAAAUACUUAUACAUAUAUUAUAGAAAUAGAAUAUUUUUUUACAUUAAAAAUAGACAAUACAAAAAUAUUUUGUUCGUGAUAAAAAUAAUUACUAUAAAUAAAAUAGUCCUACUCAAUAUCGUCAAAUUGUUCCAAGAACUCAAAAUAGUCCCUUAAGUUUAGAAAUGCUCACAAUAUCAUCACUUAAUAUAGGAUGUAACACCAUUAGUCCUCUCACUCAACACAUUGUUAAUAUCGUCAAUUAUUAAAAUAAAAUAAAAGCUCAAAAUAGUCCCUUAAGUUAGGAUUUACACUGAAAAUUGUUCAUUAAAUAUAAGGUAGAAGGCUAAUAAGUCUCCUAUUCAACCCAUUUUUAAUAUCAUCGAUUAUUAAAAAAGUUCCAAAUAGUCCCUUCCAUUUGGAUAUUAAUUUAAAAUUAUUCUUUAUUUAUAUCAUAGAACACUAAUAGUCCUCUUAUUCAAUACAUUGUUGAAAACCAUUGCUCUCAAUACAUUGUUACUUUGUUGGUGAUGAUAAUUACUUAAAUCCAAAUUAGUCCCUUAAAUUUGAAGAAAAAACUUAAAAUCAUCACUUAAAUAUAUGAUAGAAUGCUUAUAAUCUUUAUACAAGAACAUCGUUAGUAUCAACAUAAUCCAGUUUUGGAUUAUUAUUUUUAAUAAUCUUCGAUACAAAUGAUGAUCUUUUAGGAGGAUUGUAAUCGUUUUAUCAUAAAUUUAAAUUAAGAUUUUACAUUUUUCUUCAAACUUAAUGAAUUAGUUUGGAUUUAAAUAAUUAUUGUUAUUAACUAAUUAACAGUGUGUUAAAGCAAUGGUUUGAACAAUAUGAAUAGAAAGACUAUUAGUAUUCCAUCUUAUAUUUAAGGGACAAUUUUGAAUUUAUGUUUAAAAGAGACUAUUUUGCGUUUUUUAAAUAAUAGAUGAUAUUAACAAUGUAUUGAAUAGGAAGACUAUUAAGUGUGCUCCUAUGUAUUAAAAAAACUAUUUUGAGUUUAUAUCCAAAUUGAAGGGACUAUUUU